rnacentral:rRNA from 1 species
GAUGAACGCUGGCGGCGUGCCUAAUACAUGCAAGUCGAGCGAACAGACGAGGAGCUUGCUCCUCUGACGUUAGCGGCGGACGGGUGAGUAACACGUGGAUAACCUACCUAUAAGACUGGGAUAACUUCGGGAAACCGGAGCUAAUACCGGAUAAUAUAUUGAACCGCAUGGUUCAAUAGUGAAAGACGGUUUUGCUGUCACUUAUAGAUGGAUCCGCGCCGCAUUAGCUAGUUGGUAAGGUAACGGCUUACCAAGGCAACGAUGCGUAGCCGACCUGAGAGGGUGAUCGGCCACACUGGAACUGAGACACGGUCCAGACUCCUACGGGAGGCAGCAGUAGGGAAUCUUCCGCAAUGGGCGAAAGCUUGACGGAGCAACGCCGCGUGAGUGAUGAAGGUCUUCGGAUCGUAAAACUCUGUUAUUAGGGAAGAACAAAUGUGUAAGUAACUAUGCACGGCUUGACGGUACCUAAUCAGAAAGCCACGGCUAACUACGUG